UGACCGCUGGCGGUAUGCUUAACACAUGCAAGUCGAACGGUAACGAUGGGAGCUUGCUCCCAGGCGACGAGUGGCGGACGGGUGAGUAACGCGUGGGAAUCUGCCCAGAAGUUGGGGAUAGCCCGGGGAAACCCGGAUUAAUACCGAAUAUGUUCUACGGAACAAAGGAUGCCUCUGUAUAUGCAUUCGCUUCUGGAUGAGCCCGCGUUGGAUUAGCUAGAUGGUGAGGUAAAGGCUCACCAUGGCGACGAUCCAUAGCUGGUCUGAGAGGAUGAUCAGCCACACUGGGACUGAGACACGGCCCAGACUCCUACGGGAGGCAGCAGUGGGGAAUAUUGGACAAUGGGCGCAAGCCUGAUCCAGCAAUACCGCGUGUGUGAAGAAGGCCUGCGGGUUGUAAAGCACUUUCAAUAGUGAAGAAAAAGCCAAUUCUAACAGGAUUGGAAAUUGACAUUAGCUAUAGAAGAAGCACCGGCUAACUCCGUGCCAGCAGCCGCGGUAAU
rnacentral:rRNA from 1 species